rnacentral:rRNA from 1 species
UACGAAGGGUGCUAGCGUUGUUCGGAAUCACUGGGCGUAAAGCGCACGUAGGCGGAUAUGUCAGUCAGGGGUGAAAUCCCGGGGCUCAACCUCGGAACUGCCUUUGAUACAGCAUAUCUUGAGUCCGAUAGAGGUGGGUGGAAUUCCUAGUGUAGAGGUGAAAUUCGUAGAUAUUAGGAAGAACACCGGUGGCGAAGGCGGCCCACUGGAUCGGUACUGACGCUGAGGUGCGAAAGCGUGGGGAGCAAACAGG